rnacentral:rRNA from 1 species
CACACACAACCUAUAUUUCACACUCACACACUAAUCACAGCAUUCAACGUCCUAGCCCAACUAAACGACAACAUAUUAUUGGAAGAAAAGUCGUAACAAGUUUCAGUAGCUGGACCUGAGGAAGGAUCAUUAUUGAAAUUUAUUAAUGAGGAGUUGAGCUGUAGCUGGCCUUUUAACAUUGGCAUGUGCACACUCUUCUCUUUCAUCCACACACCCCUGUGCACUUGUGAGACAGUCAAGGUCCUUUGGGGUUGGGGGGCAGAGCUUUAUUGCAAAACCCUUUUUCCCCUUUUGCCUUUGCUGUCUACUCAAUUUAUACACACUCUAAUUAAUUUUAAAACGAAUGUAAUUGAUGUAACGCAUCUAAUACUAAGUUUCAACAACGGAUCUCUUGGCUCUCGCAUCGAUGAAGAACGCAGCGAAAUGCGAUAAGUAAUGUGAAUUGCAGAAUUCAGUGAAUCAUCAAAUCUUUGAACGCACCUUGCGCUCCUUGGUAUUCCUUGGAGCAUGCCUGUUUGAGUAUCAUGAAAUCUUCAAAGCAAACCUUUUGUUAAUUCAAUCGGUCUCUUGCUUUGGUAUUGGAGGUCUUUGCAGCUUCACACCUGCUCCUCUUUGAUCAUUAGCUGGAUCUCAGUGUUAUGCUUGGUUCCACUCGGCGUGAUAAGUUAUCCAUCGCUGAGGACACCGUAAAAAGAGUGGCCAAGGGUAAAUGCUAGACGAAGGCCGCUUCUAAUAGUCCAUGGACUUGGAUCAAUUAAAUUUUUAUGAACUGAGUCUCAAAUCAGUGGGAUUCCCGCUACUGAACCUGAUGCAAUCUAAAAUCAAAGAAAUUAAUGUUUUUAGUUUGGUGUUGUGUGGUUAUAUCGUUUUUGAUUUGUUGUGU